CCAACAAUUACAUGUGAUCUGAGACAUUUCUUACUUUACUUCCCUAGGUGUGUAAUAUACUAUUUGUCCGAGGAAGGAGGAAAGCAGCAACUUUGUUUAGCGCAGUGAGACCAAAGUUGCCACUUUCCGCCCGGAGGGCAAAAAAUAAAUAAAUAUUAAUUUUUUUA